CUAAAUCCCUGCCCUAGUUUCUUAAUACUAGAGUUGGGCUUGGGGGUAGGUUUAAUGCUAGGUUAGGGUAGGGAUUAGGAUUAAUGUUGAGUUAAGGUUAUGUUUAGAGUUAGACCAGAUUAAGGUGAGAUACAAGGUUAGGGUUAGUGUUAGGGUUAGGAAUUAGAGUUAGGGUUAGGGUUAGGGUUUAGGGCUAAAGUUAGAAAUUAGUGUUAAGCUCAGGUUUAGGGUGAGGGUUACAGGGUUACAGUGUAAGAAUUGGGGUGAGGUGCAUGUUCAGGUUAGGGUUUAGUGAUAGUUUUCUAGUUCAGAUUGGGGUUCAGUAGGUAGGUUAGGAUUGUGGUUAAGGUUGAUAAAUGGAACAAUUCCCCUCAAAAUUUUUUACAUUUUAUUUAUCAGUUAAAUAUUAUUCCAAUAUAUUUUAGUAAAUUAAAUAUUUAUUGUGACAUGCCUUUUAUUCUCAUAAGGACUCUGGAUGGAAGGUAGUAAGUAAAAAUGAAUGCCUUAUGGCUUGUAUUUAGACCCUCCUUCCAAGCCUUAUAUGCUUAUAGGUGGGGCUUUUUUUAGAUGGCUGGAUUUACAGUGUGUGAGUAUGGAUUCAGGGUGCAUGAUAAAUAAAUUAGUCCACUGAUUGGUUUGGUGUAGUUCUGGGUGUGGAUAAUGGCAAGGCCCACCCUAGGUGUAGCAUGAUCCAAUAGGCUUGUAGCCUGAGUGGAAUAAAAGGAAAAGGGAGGUUCAAUGUUGCUGCUUUGCUGCCUUCUGCCUGGCAUACCAUGGACUAUUUCUCCUCCAUGCCAUCCUGCUCUGGAGCCAGCUGACUGUAGACUGAAACUUCUACAAACUGUGACCUAAAAUAAACCUUUCCUCCUGUAACUUGUGGGUGUUGGGUAUUGUGUCUCAACAAUGAGAAAGUAAGUAAGACAACAUGCUUGGCACUUUCAACCCUCACCCCAUCAGCUAGAGAUGGAUUAAACAGUUGGUGAUGCUUAUAUGAUUAAAUCUUCAGAAAAACCCCUGGAAUGUAUAGUUUUGGGAAUCAAUGAGGAAAUCCUUGUGGAGGUCAUACACCCUGAUUGCAUGGGGCCAAAGGCUGCUGCCCUGGGAAACCUCCUGGACCUCUCUCUGUGCCUCUUUAAAUUUUAUGUUCAUGGCUGUCCUUUAUUGCACCCUGUGUCAUUUCCCCCAUCCUCUCAGAGUGCCUUAAAAAAUGCCUUAGAAAUUUAUGGUCUAUAGUUCUGGAGCCUGGAAACUUCCAGAUCAAGGCAAUGGCAGAUAUCCAUGUCUGCUGAGUCUCUACUCUUCAUAGAUAGUGACUUUGAGUUGUGUCCUCACAUGUCACAAUAUGGAAGAGGCUCCCAAAGACUCCUUUAUAAAAGUUCUUGGAGGGAAAAUAACAGAGACUAGUGAGUGCCAGCAACUCAGCUUCUCCAGGACAAAGUGUCUAGAGCAGCAGUGGUAAGCCUAUGGCACAUGUGCCACAGCUGCAGUCUCUAAAAGGUUUGUGUGGUGGAUUGACUAGUGGUUAACUUGAAACAUCCAACUGAACUGAAUUAGUGUGGUCUGGGCAUGAAAGAUCCACCUUCAGAUUGUUACCAAUCACCAUAAAAAGAGAACUGGAGGAGUAGAUCUUGGCCUGUUGAUUUGCUAGGAGAAGCUUGUUGCAGAUAGUUUUCCUGAUGCAAACUAGGCUGUUCUCGGAGGAGGAGCUCGGGACCUCCCUGUCACUGGUAAUGGCUGCUGUUUUCUUCAGGGGAGCUCUGACCUUUACUGUGAGCAUCACGUCCUGACUCCAAUAUGGAUCCCUCAGCUUGGUGGCAGAAAUCCUUCAUCUCACCAGCACGGAUUUUCUGGCUUCCACCAUUGGCCUUUGAGCCCUCCAGAACUUCUCUGGGGCUGGGAGAAUCAAUGGCAGUUGGAACCAGCAAGAAAAUCAAGGGAUACUGCUUCCAGAGUGACCUUCCACAGUCAACAGUUGUGGGCAGAAAAUGGAGCAGCCUUGUAUCAGUGAAGAAGAGUUUCUGUUUUAUGAACUAUCCAGUCAGCCACACUGGCCAGAGAAUAGAAUCCUCUGUCAGGCACUCAAGUCAGAAGCUCCCAGUGUGCUGCCGAGACUCCCAACCUGGCUUGGCCUCACUUGCUCUAUGACUGCUACUGAGUGUGGCUGGAUGGGAAGGUCCUGGGAGACUCUCAAUCCUCAAAAUGGUGAUUAUUCAAGGUCAAAUGGCCCACACUAGGAGCAAGUCUUGUGGUGGACGUGUAACUUCUGGUUAGAAGUGGACAGAACUAGCUUUGGCAGGAUCUGGGCCUCCCUGGAUCAGUUGGGGAAUCUUUGUUCCUGUAUGUGAACUCUCACUGGUACACAUUUGGUCCUUGGUAACCCUCUGGGCAGGGCUGAGACAUCUGCCAGGACUUAAGGAUCCUGUCUUGUCCCAGUGAAUUGACUUUACCAUGGCCAGCACUCUGGCUUUGCCAGCUCAGUCACCAUGCUUUUCAGGGAGCAGGAGAGUUGACGGGAGACUCAUGACACGUAUGUGAGGUUUCUGUGUGGGUAAAACUGAUAUGUUGGCUUCCCUGUUUUUUCUUUCAGCAGCAGACCAGGUAUUAUGAUUUAUAUCCUCAGUGUCUCCUAAAUGUCCCAUGAAUCUGAAAGUUGAUUGGUUUAUUAAUUCAUUGGUGAGUUCAGUGUCUGAAUGUGCUCUUAGGUGGUGGAAAUUUAUUGGAGAUGGGUAAGUUUUGCAGUUAAAAAUGGAAUGGAGGGCCGGGGAUUUAGCUCAGUGGUUCCACCACCUGCCUCACAGGCACAAGGUCCUGAGUUCAAUCCCCGGUACCAAAAAAAAAAAAAAAAAGGAAUAGAGAAUUGAUUUACCUCUGAAGAAGCAAAAAAGUUUAUAAGUAAAUGACUAGUUUUGCAUUUCUCAUAAAUAUGCCUAAAGAUCCAUAGAAUUAUGAUGCAGGUCAGCAAACCACCUAUGGUUUCUUCCAGUGCAUCUCUCUGAUUUCAUCUAGUUUCCCCCAAGGUGGCCACAGGAUGGAUUUUCUGGAAGCUCUUUGGACCUUAACAAUUUCUUCAAGCAAAAAUGUUAAUUUGGUUUCAAUUCUUUGGAAUUUUGAGUAAAUUAAUAAUUGAGGGAUCAAACUCAGGACCUUGUGCUUGUGAGGCAGGUGGCAGAACCACUGAGCUAAAUCCCUGGCCCCUCCACUUAUUUCUUUUUAGUCUUCUGCUUUGUCUGUAUCCACUGACAAGAUCUUACAAUUUUUGUUCUCUAGAUUUUAUUUAAUGGAUUACAUUAAUUAUUGAAUAAUGCCUUUGAUACUUUAAUAACUUAUUGUCUAUAAUUAUACAAAUAAUGAGCAAUAAAAUUUCCUAUUUGUUGAGUGA